rnacentral:rRNA from 1 species
CAAGCGCGGAUAUCAAAGCUGUUGCGCGAAACAACUUCGUAUUUGGAUUUCUGCUGAAAACGGCCGGCCCACCCUCUGGGUGAGCAUUUGGCUCGGCUUUGGCAUCUUCUUUGAGAUUUUGUAUGUGCUUGGUUGUGUGUCCACCGAUCUGAGACUUUGACUUUGAGGAAAUUGGAGUGCUUCAAGCAGGCGAGUGUUUUGAAUACGUUAGCGUGGGGUAAUGAUAUAGGAUGUCGGUUCUAUUUUGUUCGGGUUCAGGUCGGAAUAAUGAUUGAUAGGGAUAGUCGGGGGCGUUCGUAUUUCACGGUCAGAGGUGACAUUCUCCGAUUUGUUAAAGCCGGACUACUGCGAAAUCAUUUGCAAAUGAUGCUUUCGUUGA